UCCAUACUGCGGUGUCGAGGUUCCUCAUUCCAGGCAUGGCGAUGAGGCUAAGACGGGAAGCCGGUGAUGUCCCUUCGGGCAAAGUCCGGCGCUGCCCCCGCAACUGUAAGCGGCGAGCGGCGGCUCCAUUUUGUGUCACUGGGCGCUCGCAAGGUGCCCGGGAAGGCCGGAGCCACCGCGUUGACCCGUGAGCCAGGAGACCUGCCUUCGACGCGAUAACGUUC
rnacentral:ncRNA from 1 species